rnacentral:misc_RNA from 1 species
GAUGAAGAACGUAGCGAAAUGCGAUAAGUAGUGUGAAUUGCAGAAUUCAGUGAAUCAUCGAAUCUUUGAACGCACAUUGCGCCCCUUGGUAUUCCAUGGGGCAUGCCUGUUCGAGCGUCAUUUGUACCUUCAAGCUUUGCUUGGUGUUGGGUGUUUGUCUCGCCUUUGCGUGUAGACUCGCCUUAAAAUAAUUGGCAGCCGGCGUAUUGAUUUCGGAGCGCAGUACAUCUCGCGCUUUGCACUCAUAACGACAGCGUCCAAAAGUACAUUUUACACUCUUGACCUCGGAUCAGGUAGGGAUACCCGCUGAGUUUAAGCAUAUCAAUAAGCGGAGGA